ACGAAACAGUUCAAGACCUUUAAAAAAAUGUCUGCAGGCUACUUUAGUAUUCAAAAGACAAAGCACACUUUUUGCUCGAUCCUGGAGGCAGCUACGUCAUGAUGCGGGUGGACACUGGGUGCCUCAUAGGAAAUAGUGAAGCAACAAUUCAUCAAGAGGUCCUCAGGUGGGGGCCAUAGGCAGACUCCGAGAGAGCAGCCUUCAGGCUCAAAGAGAACCUGUCACUGUCCACCCACCUUCCCUCCCUCGGCAAUAAUCAAGAGGAAGCUCCAGGAGGCUGUGUACUUCUGAAAAGGUCUCCACGUAUCUUUGCCUACUGACACUAGUCCCCGACGUCAUCAUGAUGAAUCUUACUAUGGUCACCUCCUUCUUACGCUAGUCACCGCCCUGAGAAGCCUUGCUUCUGCUCAUUCCAAUGGAGACAUCCUAGAUCUGCCAGGAUAUCACUUCUCCAUCAUAACCCUUUUGGAUUGGAUCGCCACUAUCUUCCAGCUCUCAACAAUGCUGCCAUGGACCAGGAUCUAUAAUCCACUGACUGAUUCUAUCAAGGAUUUCACUGUUCCUUAUUUUGUGCCCUAAUUUCCCUCCACAUCUGGAUGUAUUUAAUGGUUAUGGUAAUCACUUUCUUCCAUAUACUUUUCAAGUCAUUUGUGACCCUUGCAUCUUUGUAAUCGCUUGACAAAACUACAGCCUCGAUUAAAUCCAACUCUUAGACUAUUCUGUCCAUUCAUCCAUGCUGGUGAAUAUAAUUGAAGAAAAACCCUCAACCAUGUUGACUUUCAAUGUAUAAUUGUUACAUUCCGCUCUCA